UACGAAGGGGGCUAGCGUUGCUCGGAAUCACUGGGCGUAAAGCGCACGUAGGCGGCUUUUUAAGUCAGGGGUGAAAUCCUGGAGCUCAACUCCAGAACUGCCUUUGAUACUGAGGAUCUUGAGUUCGGGGGAGGUGAGUGGAACUGCGAGUGUAGAGGUGAAAUUCGUAGAUAUUCGCAAGAACACCAGUGGCGAAGGCGGCUCACUGGCCCGAUACUGACGCUGAGGCACGAAAGCGUGGGGAGCAAACAGG
rnacentral:rRNA from 1 species